GCUGGCGUAGCUCAGAUGGUAGAGCGCUUCCAUGGUAAGGAAGAAGUCGUGGGUUCGAUUCCCACCGCCAGCU
rnacentral:tRNA from 1 species